rnacentral:rRNA from 1 species
AGGUCCCCGCAAUUCUGUCUCCCCCAUCUCCCUAUCUGUUGCAGACUGGCGGCGGUACAGAUCCGGCGGGACACCGUCGCUGUGCGCAGUCCUUUCCCCCAACUACUCCGGCUCUAAGGUCUGGGAUCCGCCUCCCGGGCAGCCCCGACGUUGCUCUCCAUCUCAUCGUCGGGGACCCAGCCGCCGCUGCCGCCAAGGUCUACUCCCUGGGGGCACCACCUCGGCUUCACCGUGCCGGACUACGGCGUCUUCGCGACCGGCCCGAAGAGCCAUGGCACGGACGUGUUCGAGAAGACGCAGCCUGACGGCCGGGCGCGACUGGUCUUCUUCCUCGACCCCGACGAUAUUAAUUCUCCAGUGCUUCUCAUUGAUGAUGCCAGUACACCGAAAAAGAAACAAGCCUUCUCUCAAGAGGUACCAACAUUGGUCACUGCGUGUGAUGGAUAGAUCCAAGCUCGUCGACAAGUACUAAGUUAGUCCUCCGCUUCUUACAAAAAUGAGAUACAAUAAGUUCAUAGCAUUGUCGUGUGAGGUUAAUGUUACUAUACUCUCAAUUGGCGUUGCAAGGUUAUUUGUAUAAACCCCAGUGUGACAUGGAAUUGAGGCCAAAAGUGGGGAUGCUAUUUGAUGACAUUGAUCGGUAAUGGAAUUUUACAGAACAUAUGCACACCAUGUUGGAUUUGGUGUACGUCUUGGGCAGCAAAAGAUCGUAGGUAAUGUGCUUCACUGGAAGUGCUUGUGUGCAAAGGAAGGUUUUCGGCCCGAGAAAGGUACGUUUGUUGUCGAUCCUUCAAAGAAAGGGAGAAACGUGAAAUUGACUAUAUGUGGUUAUAGGUAAUAUUGUUCUUGUCGAACUCAUGAAUGCUCUUGAGUCUUGAGUGAUUAAACUAUCCAGUGCCUUCUCUGUCCAGCAUAGAAGCAUUUAGGUUGUGUUUUGGGAUGAAUUUGUCUCUAAUUUUCCUUCUAUGUGGUAUGUGCAGCAAACAAUCGAAUGUUGUUGUUGAUGCAUAUUCAUUUCAGUAGGUCUGAUGUCUCCCAGCACAAGAUUGAUAAGCAAGAAGCUGCACAAGAAGAUCGAUAGGCAAGAAGCACUAGUACUGGAGGCAAAAGGCUAUAGCUUUUCCUGUUGCGUACCAUCAACAUAGCAAAAGUUGAUGCAGAUUCUAACGGCAAUGCUUGUUCAGCAGUGUUGAUUUUAGUCCUUCAUACUUAGUGUUGUCUGUGAUGUACCAAAAAUGAUCCUCUCAUGCUAUGUAACACUCUGUAUGUAUGCGUGUCUCUUCUUUUCUGUUAUGUCUAGGAUCAUGCAAUUUCAAAUGAUGUUUAGUUAUGAUUUAAAGCGGAUGGAUUAAUUUUCUCAUGCCUCAAAUAUUUCUGAUGAUGUUCCCAUACAUUUUGG